rnacentral:rRNA from 1 species
CUUCGGGGUGAGCGGCGGACGGGUGAGUAACGCGUGGGAACGUGCCCUCUUCUACGGAAUAGCCCAGGGAAACUUGGAUUAAUGCCGUAUACGCCCGAAAGGGGAAAGAUUUAUCGGAGGAGGAUCGGCCCGCGUUGGAUUAGGUAGUUGGUGAGGUAACGGCUCACCAAGCCGACGAUCCAUAGCUGGUUUGAGAGGAUGAUCAGCCACACUGGG